rnacentral:rRNA from 1 species
UAGGCGCACGGGUGAGUAACACGUGAAUUAUCUACCUCCGAGUGGGGAAUAACUGAGAGAAAUCUUAGCUAAUACCGCAUAACACUUACGAGUCAAAGCAGCAAUGCGCUUGGAGAGGAGUUCGCGGCCGAUUAGUUAGUUGGCGGGGUAAUGGCCCACCAAGACGAUGAUCGGUAUCCGGCCUGAGAGGGCACACGGCCACACUGGCACUGAAACACGGGCCAG